UGAUGAUGAUAAUGAUGGCGAUGAUGAUGAUGAUGAUGAUGAUGAUGACAAUCAUCAUCAUCAUCGCCAUCAUCAUCGUCAUCGUCAUCAUCAUCG
rnacentral:pre_miRNA from 1 species